rnacentral:rRNA from 1 species
GACGAACGCUGGCGGCGUGCUUAACACAUGCAAGUCGAACGGAAAGGCCCUGCUUUUGUGGGGUGCUCGAGUGGCGAACGGGUGAGUAACACGUGAGUAACCUGCCCUUGGCUUUGGGAUAACUUCAGGAAACUGGGGCUAAUACCGGAUAGGAGCUCCUGCUGCAUGGUGGGGGUUGGAAAGUUUCGGCGGUUGGGGAUGGACUCGCGGCUUAUCAGCUUGUUGGUGGGGUAGUGGCUUACCAAGGCUUUGACGGGUAGCCGGCCUGAGAGGGUGACCGGCCACAUUGGGACUGAGAUACGGCCCAGACUCCUACGGGAGGCAGCAGUGGGGAAUAUUGCACAAUGGGCGGAAGCCUGAUGCGGCAACGCCGCGUGCGGGAUGACGGCCUUCGGGUUGUAAACCGCUUUCGCCUGUGACGAAGCGUGAGUGACGGUAAUGGGUAAAGAAGCACCGGCUAACUACGUG